CCCUUAGAUGUCCUGGGCCGCACGCGUGCUACACUGACACCUGCAACGAGUUAUUCCAGCUCCGAAAGGCAGUUGGUAAUCAGAAAUAGGUGUCGUGAUGGGGAUAGACCCUUGGAAUUAUGGAUCUUGAACGAGGAAUGCCUAGUAAGCGCGCGUCAUUAGCGUGCGCUGAUUAAGUCCCUGCCCUUUGUACACACCGCCCGUCGCUCCUACCGAUUUCGAGUGGUCCGGUGAGCCUUUUGGAGAGUGAGCGUCCUUGAGGCGCUUGCUCGAAGUCAGGCAAAUCUUACUACUUAGAGGAAGGAUAAGUCGUAACA
rnacentral:rRNA from 1 species